CAGCAGCCGCGGUAAUACGUAGGGUGCGAGCGUUAAUCGGAAUUACUGGGCGUAAAGGGAGCGUAGGCGGAUCGUUAAGUUGGGGGUGAAAGCCCGGGGCUCAACCUCGGAUCUGCCUUCAAUACUGGCGAUCUUGAGUAUGAGAGAGGUGAGUGGAACUCCGAGUGUAGAGGUGAAAUUCGUAGAUAUUCGGAAGAACACCAGUGGCGAAGGCGACUCACUGGCUCAUUACUGACGCUGAGGCUCGAAAGCGUGGGGAGCAAACAGGAUUAGAUACCCCAGUAGUCCCUGUCUCUUAUAC
rnacentral:rRNA from 1 species